rnacentral:rRNA from 1 species
UGCCUACGGGGGGCAGCAGUGAGGAAUAUUGGUCAAUGGUCGGGAGACUGAACCAGCCAAGCCGCGUGAGGGAUGAAGGUACAGAGUAUCGUAAACCUCUUUUGUCAGGGAACAAAGGCGGGGACGUGUCCCCGGAUGAGUGUACCUGAAGAAAAAGCAUCGGCUAACUCCGUGCCAGCAGCCGCGGUAAUACGGAGGAUGCGAGCGUUAUCCGGAUUUAUUGGGUUUAAAGGGUGCGCAGGCGGUCUGUUAAGUCAGCGGUCAAAGCCCCGGGCUCAACCCGGGCCGGCCGUUGAAACUGGGGG